GUCUGUAUGAUUGUUAUAUAGAGUCUAGCCUGCCCACUGAUAUAAAUUAAAGGGCCGCGGUAUUUUGACCGUGCGAAGGUAGCAUAAUCAUUAGUCUUUUAAUUGGAGGCUUGUAUGAAUGGUUGGACAAAAAGUAAGCUGUCUCUGCUAUAGUAUUUGAAUUUAACUUUUAAGUGAAAAGGCUUAAAUAGUCUGGGGGGACGAUAAGACCCUAUAAAGCUUUACAACAAAAUAGAAUGUAUUAUCACUUGUUAAGUGUAACUUAAUUCAUUUAACGGUUGUUUCGUUGGGGCGACGAGAAUAUAAUUAAAAUAACUGUUCUUUAAUAAAAAUUACAGUAUUCGUUGUAUAAAAAUUGAUCCUUUAUUAAAGAUUAAAAGAUUAAGUUACUUUAGGGAUAACAGCGUAAUCUUCUUUGAGAGUCCAGAUCGACAAGAAGGGUUGCGACCUCGAUGUUGAAUUAAGGGUUCCUUGCGGUGCAGCAGUUGUAAAGGAAGGUCUGUUCGACCUUUAAAUCCUU
rnacentral:rRNA from 1 species